GACCGCUCCGGGGGGGCACGAGGUUAGAGCGUUCGCCUCGGAUGCGAGAGGGCGCGGAUUCGAACCCCGGCCGAGUCA